GACGAACGCUGGCGGCGUGCCUAAUACAUGCAAGUCGAGCGCAGGAAGCUGACGGAACUCUUCGGAGGGAAGGCAGUGGAAUGAGCGGCGGACGGGUGAGUAACACGUAAGGAACCUGCCUCAAGGAUUGGGAUAACUCCGAGAAAUCGGAGCUAAUACCGGAUAGUUCAACGGACCGCAUGGUCCGCUGAUGAAAGGCGCUCCGGCGUCACCUUGAGAUGGCCUUGCGGUGCAUUAGCUAGUUGGUGGGGUAACGGCCCACCAAGGCGACGAUGCAUAGCCGACCUGAGAGGGUGAUCGGCCACACUGGGACUGAGACACGGCCCAGACUCCUACGGGAGGCAGCAGUAGGGAAUCUUCCACAAUGGACGAAAGUCUGAUGGAGCAACGCCGCGUGAGUGAUGAAGGUUUUCGGAUCGUAAAGCUCUGUUGUAAGGGAAGAACACGUACGAGAGGAAAUGCUCGUACCUUGACGGUACCUUACGAGAAAGCCACGGCUAACUACGUGCAGCCGCCGCCGUAAAAC
rnacentral:rRNA from 1 species